UACGUAGGGUGCAAGCGUUGUCCGGAAUUAUUGGGCGUAAAGAGCUCGUAGGCGGUCUGUCGCGUCUGCUGUGAAAACUCGGGGCUUAACCCCGGGCCUGCAGUGGGUACGGGCAGACUAGAGUGCGGUAGGGGAGACUGGAAUUCAUGGUGUAGCAGUGAAAUGCGUAGAGAUCAUGAGGAAGACCAGUGGCGAAGGCGGGUCUCUGGACAGUUCCUGACACUGAGGCACGAAGGCCAGGGGAGCAAACGGG
rnacentral:rRNA from 1 species